UACAGAGGUCCCAAGCGUUGUUCGGAUUCACUGGGCGUAAAGGGUGCGUAGGUGGCCGGUUAAGUCUGACGUGAAAUCUCCGAGCCUAACUCGGAAACUGCGUCGGAAACUAUCCGGCUCGAGGGUUGGAGGGGGGACUGGAAUACUUGGUGUAGCAGUGAAAUGCGUAGAUAUCAAGUGGAACACCAGUGGCGAAGGCGAGUCCCUGGACAACUCCUGACACUGAGGCACGAAAGCGUGGGGAGCGAACAGG
rnacentral:rRNA from 1 species